CACGUUAGUUCGUGGUUGUCAAUUUGGCAACAAAUGUCAGUUUUUGUUAGGUUAACCUAUUUCUGUUUAUCAUACAAGAUUUGAAAUGUAAAUCUUUAUAUAUCACUAUAAAUUGUAUUCAUUUAAUUAUUUUGUUUGUAAUGUGUCAUUAUAUUGAUGCAGUGAAGAUGCUCGUGAGGUUGUGUUAGAUUGUUAUUGAAUUGUUGCCCUUUGAUAAUGUCUCCAAAAUGCAUUUCCAAGAAAACUUCCAGUUCCUUUAUGAAACAUCACUAACUACAUGAGGUAUCAAGAGGAUGAAGAAAUGAUAAUGUCACUGAAAGAUUGGAGGCAAGCACUGCGCACCCCUCCUACUUACAGAGUUGGAAACAGCACAUUGCGCAUUCAAACUACUUUUGUUACCAUAAUAGCUUUACUAGGCUUAUUUAUACUUUUAAUUUUGUAUACUACAUCUAAAAAAAAUCCUAAAAUAGUGGGAUAUGGUCUUGGCAGCAACGAUAUAUACAGAAACCACUAUUUCCCCCAGCCACAUGAAAGGCUGGAAAGAAUAACACGCUAUGAUAGUGUUGAUGAGUAUUACAAUGCUACAUACCCUUUGACUCCUCCAAUCAACACCCCAAGUGGGGUCAAGUACCGUAUCGGUAUUAUUAGUGAUUUAGAUACUAAUUCGAAGAGCAAGCUGGAAUCAAAUACCUGGAUCAGCUACUUCAAAACUGGCCAUCUAAUGUGGCUCCCGAGUACAAGUUCCAUUACAGUUGUAUGGGAUAGAACGGAUCCCAUUGAAUUGAAAUCAACAUUCGGACAAAGUGGACGAGGCAUGGAGUUAUCAGAGUUAGUUGUGUUCAAUGGUAAACUGUUAUCAUUUGAUGAUCGGACAGGUUUAAUUUAUGAAAUUAAUUUAGACUCAAAUAUUGCUAUUCCUUGGGUGCUACUAAUAGAUGGGAAUGGAAUGACCACUAAAGGCUACAAGAGUGAGUGGGCGACAGUGAAAGGACACAAAUUGUAUGUGGGCAGCAUGGGGAAGGAGUGGACCACCAGUGGGGGGGAGCUCCAAAACCUCAACCCUAUGUGGGUGAAGGUAGUCACAACCUCAGGCCAGGUCACACAUCUCAACUGGGAGGAGCAAUACAAGACACUACGAAGAGCUGUAGGUGUGGAGUUUCCUGGAUAUGUGAUCCAUGAAUCUGGGGUUUGGAGUGAGGUCCAUCAACGAUGGUUCUUUCUUCCUCGACGACUCUCCAAAAAACGGUACAACGAUGAGACUGAUGAGUUUAUGAGCACCAACAUCUUGCUCAGCACCGACCAACACUUCAGCAAUGUUCAGGUAACUUACAUCGGAGAGGUAAUCCCAACCCACGGUUACUCCAGCUUUAAGUUCCUCCCAGCUACGGACGAUUCAGUCAUCAUAGCUCUGAAGUCAGAGGAGGAUAAGGGUCGAAGUGCCACUUAUAUCACCGCUUUCCAUAUUGACGGCAAGAUUCUUUUGCCUGAGAUCAAGGUGGCAGAUUUGAAGUAUGAAGGCAUCGAAUUCAUUUGAAACUUAAAGUUUACUCUGAAAACGCAUAAAUUAGUCAUUGUAAAGAGAUCAUUUUUAAACUUGUUUGUAUUAGUAACUCGUUAUCGUUUUUACAAUUCUUAUAGAAAUAUUUAUUCCAAAUUUAUUAAAAACCUGUAAGUUAUUUUGGAUUUUCAACGUUUAAUAUGUUUUACACUAAUGUUGAAUUUCUUUUACAAAUCUCCAAAAAACAAAUUUGUAUGGAAAUGGAUACAAUUUUCAAAUACUUAAGUAUUUUAUCAGUCUAUAAUCAUUGCUCAAAGUGAUGUGUUCGUUGCAUCAUGUUUUAUACAUUUAAAAGUCAAAUUUUUAAUAACAUAUGGAAUUUUGUAAAACUUAUUGCUGUAUAUGAGGCAAUUGUGUAUGCAUUAUUAGUUUAACAACUGCCUUGUUGUAGUUUUUUAAAAAUAAAAGUGUUAUUUUAAAAUCUAGUCCAUCAUGUAAUUUAAAUCAUUUUAUUAUUUUAUAAAACUAGAAAAAUAAUUAUUUAUAGUAAAGUGGAAUAUAUAAUUUAUGCGUAAAUAAAUAAUUUACUUCUUUGAACACUCUCAGUUGUGAGUAAAAAAAGUAAAUUUGUAAUAAAAACAAUUAUAACCAUAGGAUUUACCAACCAUAAAAUAUACAAUUAUAUGUUCUAUCAUUUUAUAUAGUUUGAAUGUCAUAAAUGGUAUGGAUAUGUACUUAAUUAUUUUUAUACCAGAUUUUUUGUAUCAAAAAAUUAUUUUUGUCUUAAAGAUAACAAAACACAAUUAUAUAAAAAUUAUUUACUCUGAAACCGUGAUGGUUCCUCCAUCAUAGGUACUCAAAUCACAAAACAGUGUUCUUUCAAAUAGCUAUGUGUUCUGUGUUGAGUUGAGAAAUUACAAAUUUGAAAUAUUAUUCCUGUGUUACGUUUAGAACUUUUCAUUGAAAUAUGUAAUUGAAGAAUUUAUUUUAGGUACAAUUAUUGUCUUAUGUUAUAUUAUUCUGACAUUUGGUUGAGUGACUGAUAGCAAGCAAGUUAUUCAUGUAAAACUAGCGUUUACUCAAAUUAAGUAACUAAACCAAUCUCAGUUUGGUUUUCAGUUUCAAUACUCAAGUAGAGAACUAAAAUAAAUUUUGAAUUCUUAAUAACUGUAACAAAAUAACUAUGUACUAUAUAUUCAUUAUAAGUAAUCUUAAAUAUAAUAUCAUGAGUGAAAGCAGAGUAUUUUUGCUACAUGAUAACAUAGUACCGGUACGUCCUGAUACAUUUCCAGAAUUAUUAAAUUCCAUACAUUUUUUUAAAAUUAAUGUAAAAUAACAUGUUUGUGAUUAAAUUUUCAAAGGUUAUUUUCAGAAAAACGUAUUGAAAUAAUUCCAAUAUUAAAUAAUAAUAGUAGUUAUUUAUUUAUUUAUUGUAAAAUACAGUCUUGAUUCUGACUAUUUGUUCUAUUAAUUUAUUCACAAUUAUUUAUUUGUUUGUAAAAUUACAUAUUUUUGUUAAAUA
rnacentral:misc_RNA from 1 species